UGCCUGGUGUUGGGUGGAGGCAU
rnacentral:piRNA from 1 species